rnacentral:rRNA from 1 species
UAGCAAGUCGACCAAAGGCGAAAGCAGUCAUCAAGUGCAUACCCGUUGAUCAAGAGCGAAAGUUAAGGGUUCGAAGACGAUCAGAUACCGUCGUAGUCUUAACUAUAAAUGAUGCAAACCAGGGAUAGGACACUGUCCAUAUCGACUCCUCCUGAACCUUCGAGAAAUUACAGUCUUUGGGUUCUGGGGGGAGUAUGGUCGCAAGGCUGAAACUUAAAGGAAUUGACGGAAGGGCACACAAAGAGUGGAACCUGCGGCUUAAUUUGACUCAACACGGGAAAACUCACCAGGUCCAGAUACACGUAUGAAAGUCAAGCUGAAAGACUUUACUCAAUGAUGUAAGUGGUGGUGCAUGGUCGUUCUUAGUUCGUGGAUUGAUUUGUCUGGUCUAUUCCGAUAACGAGCGAGACCCCAUCGUUCCUAAUAGGGGCGGCUAGCCCGCCGACCGAAAGGCCGGUAGCUUCCGCCUAAGAUUUGCUUCUUAGACGUAUCAGAGCCGAUAAGGUUCUUGAAAUGGGUUAAUAACAGGUCAGUCAUGCCCUUAGAUGUUCUGGGCCGCACGCGCGUUACAAUGGCAUGUAAAGCAAGUGCUUGAAAAGGCGUCUCCGGGGCCGAAAGGUCCUGGUAACCCUUAGUCCCUGCCUUGACUGGGACAGAUCAUUGCAAUUAUUGGUCUCCAACGAGGAAUUUUUAGUAGUCGUAGGUCAUUAACCUACGACGAAUGCGUCCCUGCCCUUUGUACACACCGCC